UAUUGAAGAAACAUUGUCGGAAACAUUAUCGGUGAAACUGUACCGAUGUAAACAUUAUGUGUGAAAUUAAUUUCGGAGAUUGGUAUCAACAUAGGUAAUCACAGUCCGUUAAGUAGAAGAGACCCGACAUUAACAUGACAUUAAUUGAAACUAUCCGGUGUUCCUCGUAUCAAUAUCUUCAAGAAACAGUUUUUACGAUAAUUUGGAUUUGAAAUCUGUUCGAAUAAAAUGAAAACUAGAACCGAAGAGUGCAAACCAUUAUGUAGAAUGAAUGGAGUAUAAAAUUCCAUAGAAUUCAAUAAAAUUAAAUUUGUAUCAGAAUUCGGAGCCCAACGGUCAUUUUAUAAUCAUGAAGAUACUCUAAUGAAUACAUUGUGUACUUUAAACGUAGAAACGAAGAAAAUAGCACGGAUAUAAAAAAAAUUGUUCUUAUGCUAUCUUGAGACCAGCAAUGGAAUUCUCGAGGAGCUAAAGAGUAGAAGACAGAUAAAAGGAAAUUAAUUAUAAAAGUACAUUGUGGGUAAAUUUUACAGUGCGAAGAAUGGUCUGCAUAUACGUUAUUGAAACUAACCUUGAGAUCCCAGACUACCAACUGACCGUCUAAACCGCUUGUACUAAAUUCGUUAUCAGACACUUUU